AACGAACGCUGGCGGCAGGCUUAACACAUGCAAGUCGAACGCCCCGCAAGGGGAGUAGCAGACGGGUGAGUAACGCGUGGGAAUCUACCCAUCUCUGCGGAAUAGCUCUGGGAAGCUGGAAUUAAUACCGCAUACGCCCUACGGGGGAAAGAUUUAUCGGGGAUGGAUGAGCCCGCGUUGGAUUAGCUAGUUGGUGGGGUAAAGGCCUACCAAGGCGACGAUCCAUAGCUGGUCUGAGAGGAUGAUCAGCCACAUUGGGACUGAGACACGGCCCAAACUCCUACGGGAGGCAGCAGUGGGGAAUAUUGGACAAUGGGCGCAAGCCUGAUCCAGCCAUGCCGCGUGAGUGAUGAAGGCCUUAGGGUUGUAAAGCUCUUUCACCGAUGAAGAUAAUGACGGUAGUCGGAGAAGAAGCCCCGGCUAACUUCGUGCCAGCAGCCGCCGUAA
rnacentral:rRNA from 1 species